UAUAUAUUUCACAAAAAAUAUAAUUUUUAUUGUUUCUUCCAAUCACAGGUAGUUAUGACAUAUUUCCCUCUGUAACAGGUUGUCGGACCAGGAGAAGAUCACAGCAGCAGUCGAGGCUGAGAAUAGCACACUACGAGCGCUAAACAUACAACUGCAGCAACAUUUGCUGAAAUCACUGAACUCUGUGCAAUGCAAUGAUCCUGUAUCACAAAGCCCAGAGAAGGCCUUAAAAAUUGCAGAGUCUGGCUGUGCAGAUGAGGUGGGACCCUCUGCUUCUCCCAAAGGAGACGAGAUUCACUUGGGAGGGGAAGUAAGCAUUCGAAAAGAGACGUGGUCCAGGAUCCAGAAUAGCACCAGGGAUUCGUUAUUUGUGAAAGAGUUGGCAGUGGCGAUGUGGGGCACUAAAACCCUGGGGGAAAGGAGCCUCACGGGGAAAGAAUGCCCCUCCAACAAAACCACCAGGCAGCCUUUAACCCCACAGAAACUACACACAUUAAAAGGUAGGAGUAGCCACAAGGUCUUCACUUCAGCCACUUCAGUGAGAAUAAGAGCACUCAAAGUGCCAUGCAAUGUAAGGGUACUUAAGUUUUGUUCAUUUUGACGAUGUUGUGAUUUGCUUGUUUUUUAUGUU